UCUGUGGUGGACAUUUUCAGUGAGUGUAUUCUUUUUGAAGUUAUCGAGCAUUCUAGCUGUCAGAUGUCUCUCCUGAAAUGCCUAGUUAGUGUCCCAGUGCUGUAGAGAAAGCUACCCUGGAUUUUGCCUGCUGACCGAAUUUAUUGCCUUGGCUUGAUUUUACAAACCUGAGUUGUUUGUCUGCAGCUUCCUUCACAUGAUAUUCCAGAGUGUCUAGCAAAAGUGUGUGUGCCACUGAAAGUUUCA